rnacentral:rRNA from 1 species
GAGUUUUUUAUAAAAAAGAGGGGGUGGUUCAGUCGUAGGUGACCUGGGAAGGAUCUUUCC